UUCUUUAUGCACUGUGAAAGGAGGGGCUGUCCUGUGCCUCAGAUGCGCACAGAGCACCCAGGAAAACAGGCACAAUGAAAACAAUACUUUUUCCUCCACAUGAGAGGACAGAAAAUCUAUUUCCUAACAUAGAUCUUGCAGCAAAGGCCUUAUACCAACAGAAUAUUCUCUAUAAGCUUUGCUGUUUUUAUAAAAAUGGAAGAUGAGGAAAGCGUCCUCUCUUCAAAAAAUAAGUGAAAGCAUCAGGAGGGAGGGAUAUUUGGGAGGGCUGUUUGUUUUUAUUUCUUCAAUCUGAAAGUUUUUCUUUUUAUCAAAUAUUGAGCUGUCCUAUUGAAAAGAUAAUCUGAAAAUACUGAUUGGCUCAAAGUAGUUCUCUUUUGGGAUAAGGUUUCACCCAACAGGUUUCUGGGCAAAACUGAGUAUAGAGAAAACAAAAGACUGAAAUAAAUGAUGCCUCAACAGAAGCUUAUUGCAAUAGAUGUUCUUUCUUUCCCAGAACCCAGGCAGCACCUCCUGGCCACACCAAGUAACUCCUAAACUGGACUGAAAAAAAUGCCAAAAGCAAGCAAAAUUCCUUUGCAAUUGUUUCUCCUCCUCAAGAGGGCACCUGUAUCAAAUUAUUUGACAGGCACAGCUCUCUGUUGGUGUUCUAAAAGGGUCCACAUUGCACUUUCUGGUGUCAAACUUCCAAUUAUGGGUCAGCUAGCCAGGACCAGGAGAUUGUGUUGGAUUUACUAAGGCCAGCUUGGCUUAGACUUUCCUGAUGGCCAAGCGACUUUCAGACUCUCAGAAGACAUUUCAAUUUCAGACUGAGGGAAACAGGCAGAAGUUCAGGUGCUAUUUUAGCAGCUCCAGAGGUGCACAGAGCCCAUUGGUUCAUGGAAGGGGAAAAGUGGGACCUGCCAGCUCACAGCAAGUCAUUGAAGCAAUCCAAGC
rnacentral:lncRNA from 1 species